rnacentral:lncRNA from 1 species
AUUUCUCUUAUCCUCAUAAUGAUAUAUAUCACAAACAAACUAUAUAUUUACAUGAAGAAAUAAAAUCACUCAUAGAGAUCUGCGAAACAAAUCACAACAACAACCCCAUGAAAUGAUGAAGAAACUUUAGCGCUACGAGAGAUGAGUCAAGAAUGUGUUUUAAUUGAAGUUCGUGAUUUAUCACAUACAAGAGAUUUGUAAUUUUUUUCUUCUGAAGGGUUCUUGCAACAAUUCAAUAUGAAGAUAACGUCGCAAGACUGCUAAUUCGCGGAGUAACAUAAAAGGAAGAUAGAGCAAAUUUUCUACAAGUCAUCGCCAAGUAAACUUUUGAACAACUACUACAGAAGAUUAUUUGAUUUUCUUCAUCUCAUAUAUAAUUGUUUUUAUGAGGGGGAGACAUAAAUAUGUUCUGCACUCUUUUUCCCUUCACCAUGGUUUUGUCCNN